AGGAUGAACGCUGGCGGCGUGCCUAACACAUGCAAGUCGAACGUCCUGUCUCGCAAGAGGCAGGGAGUGGCGGACGGGUGAGUACCACGUGGGUCAUCUACCGUGAGGUGAGGAAUACCGGCGAGAAAUCGCCGACAAGACCGCAUAGGCUCGAUGCAAGUCGAGCAAAGCUCUUUCGAGAGAGGGAGCGCCACACGAGGAGCCUGCGCCCGAUUAGCUAGCUGGUGGAGUAACGGUUCACCAGGGCGACGAUCGGUAGCUGGUCUGAGAGGACGAUCAGCCACACUGGAUUGAGAACGGCCCAGACUCCUACGGGGGGCAGCAGUGAGGAAUUUUCGUCAAUGGGGGCAACCCUGAACGAGCAACGCCGCGUGCAGGAAGAGGUUUCGGAUCGUAAACUGCUUUUCUCGGGAAGAGAAUGGACGGUACCCGAGGAAUCAGCCCCGGCUAACUACGUGCCAGCAGCCGCGGU
rnacentral:rRNA from 1 species